UUAAGGGUUUGUGGUCUGUCUCCUGGGAGACAGAAAUCCCCUGGUGCAGUGCCAGCAUAGUUACUACCUCAGCUCACAAGCUAUUUUGAUUCAAUCACCCUAUCUUUGCCUACGCGUGGUAUCACCUCCUUUACUGUGUGCUGAAUGCAAUGGGCUGGAGCCUGAACUCCUUCUAGCACUGGGCAAAUGCAGCAACAGCAGAGGAAGAGGGGCCUUGUGCAAUGGCCACCAUGGACACAGAGAAGCCAUUACACUCCAGGAUCCUAACGGAGGGUGCCACAGGCCCUUGUCAUCAGAGAAGGGAGGGAUGCUGGAAGAAACUGGAAGCUCCGUUCUCAAAAUGUCUGUGGAGCAGAAUCUGGGAACCAAGGUCCUUGUAUGAUGAAAACGGGACACAGCUCUGCAUCAGCCCUGGAAAACACUGAUUUGUGAGCUUACUGCAUGAUACAUGGGAAUAGUGUCCUUCAUCUUUUACAUGCUGAGCUAAAUAAACAGAGAACCUAG